UACGGAAGGUGCAAGCGUUAUCCGGAUUCACUGGGUUUAAAGGGUGCGUAGGCGGGUUGGUAAGUCCGUGGUGAAAUCCCCAAGCUUAACUUGGGAACUGCCGUGGAUACUAUCAAUCUUGAAUAUCGUGGAGGUAAGCGGAAUAUGUCAUGUAGCGGUGAAAUGCUUAGAUAUGACGCAGAGCACCAAUUGCGAAGGCAGCUUGCUACACUACUAUUGACACUGAGGCACGAAAGCGUGGGGAUCAAACAGG
rnacentral:rRNA from 1 species